rnacentral:lncRNA from 1 species
CAGCGCUCCUGGCCCAGGGACAGUACAGCAGGUUUGAAGGCAUCACCUACCCCGAGCCGGUCCAGUAUUCCCAGUACGACCAGCAAUCAGAAAUUCAGGAUUAUUACGACUAUCACGAUGUCACCCCCCGUGCCCCCGAGGAGCAGUUUCGCUACCAGUCCCAGCAGCAAUCACAGCAAGAAAUCGUCCCGGCCCCCACCCCAGCUGUUGCCCCCGAGACUGAACCCACGGAGCCAGGACCCCUCG